UAGGCCUAACACAUGCAAGUCGAACGGCAGCACAGGAGAGCUUGCUCUCUGGGUGGCGAGUGGCGCACGGGUGAGUAACGCGUGGAUAUCUGCCUUUUGGUUCGGAAUAACUCCGGGAAACUGGAGCUAAUACCGGAUGGUUCCUACGGGAUAAAGAUUUAUCGCCAAAAGAUGAGUCCGCGUACGAUUAGCUAGUUGGCGGGGUAAUGGCCCACCAAGGCGACGAUCGUUAGCUGGUCUGAGAGGACGAUCAGCCACACUGGGACUGAGACACGGCCCAGACUCCUACGGGAGGCAGCAGUGGGGAAUAUUGGACAAUGGGGGCAACCCUGAUCCAGCCAUGCCGCGUGAGUGAUGAAGGCCUUCGGGUUGUAAGGCUCUUUUGGCGGGGACGAUGAUGACGGUACCCGCAGAAUAAGCCCCGGCUAACUUCGUGCCAGCCGCCGCCGUAACAC
rnacentral:rRNA from 1 species